UACUGCCCUCAUGCGAUGGAAAGGGAGCGAGAGCGACGAGACUGCGAGUGUUGUUGAUGCGACACAAAAGCCGUCCAUCUGAGAGCGGAAGCGCCGCCACUUUCAGUGAGAUAAGUGUCUGGUUGGUGAGGGCUCUGCUCAUGGCCCAUUUUGCUCUUGGUAGGGACACCCUGUUAGCUAGGGCUGGGUUGGAAGAAAAGGUUCCUGACUAGUUGUGGUUUUGAGGGAGACAAGGUCCCCAUUUCCAGGGGCUGCUCAUUUCUCUGGCCAGGACCGGUGUGUCCUCUGCAGCAGGUUAGAUCCAGGAGGAUGACUCCCGGUGGUGAGUUGCUUGCCUUCCUCCCACCUUUUUCUCUCUCUCUCUCUAGUACGUUGGCCAACAUACACCCUUUAACUCUCUGUGUCUGUCCUUGCCUUUCCUUGUGCUGUCUUCCUUCGUAGGACACAGGCAGGGGUGCUAGGUGUGCAACCCCACAGCUUAGGUCUCGGGAGCCAUGGAGAAGUAGGAGCAGAUGAAAAUCAUGUGGCAGUUGGCUCUAAAGUGGAGCGAAGACUGUCGGUGUUAACUCGGUCUCUGUUCAUCAAGUAGGGCCAAUGUAGAUGGGAUGGGAGAGGGAGGCCAGGAUGAGACCAAGAUUUCGAGCACCAACACAGCUUUGGGUAGUGAUGGCUCAUGCUUGGCUUUUGCAGCUGCACUUGCAGAGGAAUUGUCCAGGAGUCCCAGCCGGAGGAGAAACUGGCAAACGUAGACCUGAUCAGCUUGGACAUUCUCCUAAGCAGAAAUAAACAGUACUCAGCUUUCUACCUUCCGCUUAAAAGGCUAAGAUGGUUUCUAGAACUACCUUCCAAAUGGCAGUGUUAUCUUCUGAAAGUCAGGGAAACACCCACACCCUAGUUAGAGGGAGCUCAUCUUUGACCUUGGCAUGAAGAGGGCCAAAGCAGAGAGGAGGAUUAAGCCUGUGCGGAGAAGUGUCGAUCCCGAGCCCCCUUACAGCCGCCCCUUCGGCACACCAUGUUCCAUCUGACCGGGAUAGGUCCCAAAUAAGAUUUCACUUCAAAUCUCUAAAAAGCCAAGUAGAAAUCAUUCUGUGGGAAUUUACUGUGACUAAGAGAAACAGAAGUUCAGCCCUUCUCAAGGGGUGAGGGUCGGGGGGAGUCGCUCAUCCACAGACACAGAAAGGCUCCCUCAGCUUAAGCGUGAGAGGUAUAAGACCUUACACCCUGGUUACAGGGC
rnacentral:lncRNA from 1 species